GAUGAACGCUGGCGGCGUGCCUAAUACAUGCAAGUCGAGCGAACAGACGAGGAGCUUGCUCCUCUGACGUUAGCGGCGGACGGGUGAGUAACACGUGGAUAACCUACCUAUAAGACUGGGAUAACCUCGGGAAACCGGAGCUAAUACCGGAUAAUAUAUUGAACCGCAUGGUUCAAUAGUGAAAGACGGUUUUGCUGUCUCUUAUAGAUGGAUCCGCGCCGCAUUAGCUAGUUGGUAAGGUAACGGCUUACCAAGGCAACGAUGCGUAGCCGACCUGAGAGGGUGAUCGGCCACACUGGAACUGAGACACGGUCCAGACUCCUACGGGAAGCAGCAGUAGGGAAUCUGCCGCAAUGGGCGAAAGCCUGACGGAGCAACGCCGCGUGAGUGAUGAAGGUCUUCGGAUCGUAAAACUCUGUUAUUAGGGAAGAACAAAUGUGUAAGUAACUAUGCACGUCUUGACGGUACCUAGUCAGAAAGCCACGGCUAACUACGUG
rnacentral:rRNA from 1 species